ACUCAAAUGAAUAGACGGGGGCCCGCACAAGCAGUGGAGUAUGUGGAUUAAUUCGACGCAACGCGAAGAACCUUACCAGGGCUUGACAUCCUACUAAGGGGGCAGAGACGCCCCUGUGCCCUUCGGGGAAAGUAGAGACAGGUGGUGCAUGGUUGUCGUCAGCUCGUGUCGUGAGAUGUUGGGUUAAGUCCCGCAACGAGCGCAACCCUUACGGUUAGUUGCUACGCAAGAGCACUCUAGCCGGACUGCCGUUGACAAAACGGAGGAAGGCGGGGACGACGUCAAAUCAUCAUGCCCUUUAUGUCCUGGGCUUCACACGUACUACAAUGGCGGUUUACAACGGGCAGCGACCACGUGAGUGGAAGCGAAUCCCUUAAAAGCCGCCUCAGUUCGGAUUGCAGGCUGCAACUCGCCUGCAUGAAGUCGGAAUUGCUAGUAAUCGCGGAUCAGCAUGCCGCGGUGAAUACGUUCCCGGGCCUUGUACACACCGCCCGU
rnacentral:rRNA from 1 species